ensembl:misc_RNA Y_RNA Y RNA
GGCUGGUCUGAAGGUAGUGAGUUAUCUCAACCGAUUGUUCACGGUCAGUUACAGAUGAAACUACUCAUUCUACUCUUUCUUCCCUUUUCGCUAUUGUUCUUGACUAGUCCUUU